AUGGCGGUGCCCAUUCUCACGUCUUUCGCUACAGUAUCAUCUACACUUGUAGAGCUACCUCCGGAUGAGAUGAACACUCCUAUAUCUGCAUUCAGAGCAAAAGGACAGGUUGCUAUGCCUAAAACACCCAGCAAAUCACCAUGCCCAAAAAGCGCUUGCCGCAAACUUGUUCUUGAGCUCUCUAAGUCUAAGGGUGCAGCGCUAUCUGGCUCUGCUCCCAAGUUGGCUACCCAGACUGAAGAAGUUGUUCCUGCUGGAAAUGGCGACAUGCGCAUUAAAAGGCUCCAGCCUGUUGUUGAUGCUUCUGGGCUUGACAAGGUUGGCGGACCCGAGGUUGUUAAGAAGCACAUGAUGCCGUCAUCUUUUGCGGGUGGGCUUUGCUGUAUGACUGAAGAUUUCCAUGAUGCAGUGGCUGUUUCGCAAGUCCAUGGCUCGCCUGAUAUAUUCACAACCUUUGCAUGUGAUCCAGAGUGGCCUGAGAGAAUUGAGACCCUUGAACAUGGGCAAAAAGCAGUCGAUGGAGCUGAUAUUACCAUUCAAAUCCAUCAGAUGAAGCUACUUGACUACCUGCACACAAUCAGGACUGGGCAAGUGUUUGGGACAGUGCUUGCUGUUGUCCACACCGUGGAGUUCCAGAAAACGGGGGUGCCCCAUGCACAUAUCCUUGUUUGGCAGGAGAAGAACGAUGAUCAGGCCCCUGCACUUGCUGAUGUUGAUCCAGAUGCUUGUACUGCUGCACCUGCCAACAGCGUGGAAGCGGCGGUUGCUCAGCCAGCUAGGCUUAACAGGAUUGCCACUACUGCUGCUGCUGCAUCAACCAUUUCAUAA
rnacentral:rRNA from 1 species